AUGCUGUUAGAAGUGGUUAGAAGAUUGACCUAUGCGGGGAGGUCUUCUCUUGCCACUUUUUCUCUCAACUUGGCAGGUUCACUGGGAACCGGAGAUGGUGGAUGUCUUCCUGGUAAUGGAAUUCGCAACAUCUGCAGUGCGAACACUUGGAGAUCUGUCGCCAAACCAUUCAUCCUUUUGAUAUCAGCUACCUCAACUCCCUACUUAAUUGUGACACCAGCAGGAGUAUCAAAUUUCGAAACAUAA